GAUGAAGAACUUAGCGAAAUGCGAUAAGUAAUGUGAAUUGCAGAAUUCAGUGAAUCAUCGAAUCUUUGAACGCACAUUGCGCCCGCCAGUAUUCUGGCGGGCAUGCCUGUUCGAGCGUCAUUUCAACCAUCAAGCCCCCGGGCUUGUGUUGGGGACCUGCGGCUGCCGCAGGCCCUGAAAAGCAGUGGCGGGCUCGCUGUCACACCGAGCGUAGUAGCAUACAUCUCGCUCUGGGCGUGCUGCGGGUUCCGGCCGUUAAACCACCUUCAUAACCCAAGGUUGACCUCGGAUCAGGUAGGAAGACCCGCUGAACUUAAGCAUAUCAAUAAGCGGAGGA
rnacentral:misc_RNA from 1 species